AAAUUGAAGAGUUUGAUCAUGGCUCAGAUUGAACGCUGGCGGCAGGCCUAACACAUGCAAGUCGAACGGUAACAGGAAGCAGCUUACUGUUUCGCUGACGAGUGGCGGACGGGUGAGUAAUGUCUGGGAAACUGCCUGAUGGAGGGGGAUAACUACUGGAAACGGUAGCUAAUACCGCAUAACGUCGCAAGACCAAAGAGGGGGACCUUCGGGCCUCUUGCCAUCGGAUGUGCCCAGAUGGGAUUAGCUAGUAGGUGGGGUAACGGCUCACC
rnacentral:rRNA from 1 species